rnacentral:siRNA from 1 species
CAAUUGGUCAUCGCGCUUGGU